GCUGAGCGGGGACUCUUCGGCGCCCUUCCCCGCUCAGGUCCGGGAGCCCGCGCGUCGGGCCGUCAGUCGGUCCUCACGCCGCGCCGAGGGACAUGGCCUUCAUUUGGAGAAGUUGCUUGCUUUUCUGAUCCUGUCUAACUACUGCUGCAGAAUCCCAGGAGGAGGCCUGCUUUCUCCUGGAAUGAUCACUGAGGUCCGCUUCAGUAAGUCAGUUAAACCUUGGCUGGCUUGCUGUUGUGUCCAGGAGCAGGGAGCCCGGAAGACAGAAGGUUCCUGAUGAGCCAAGGCAGGCCGGGGUUGGGGGCACCCCCAACAGGGUUACAAGUAGUCACCGAGCCUUCCAGCAUCCCACUUCUUCCCCAGCAGUUGUCUUCUGCCUCCUUGUCACUUAUGGUCGCCUCUGAGGGAAACUCAGGGUUUAGAGAAAGGAGAAGGAGAGUCGUCUUCUAGUCCGUUAUCUUCUUGGAACAAGGGUAGGAUGUGGAUACAAGUCAGGCCUGUGGAGGGAAAUAGGCCUUGGUUCAAAGUCGCCUCAUCAUGAUAUCUGUGUGACCAUAGCCCAUGAAGAAAAAGAAAACGAAAAACCCCACAUGCUCUCGCUUAAAUAUGGAAUCUAAAGAAGUCAAACGUAUAGAAGCCACGCUGGAGAACCAUGGUUCACGGGUGCUGGGGAAUGGGGGAAAUGUUGGUCAAAGAGCGCAAAGUUGCAGUAAUGAAGGAUGACUGUCUCCAAAUCCCUAAUGUGCAGAUGGAAAUACGCUAAGAGAAUGGAAUGCAGGUGCUCUCAUCACUAAAAGCCCCCUAGGGCCCAGCUUGAUGCCUGACUCAGAGAAGGAGACACAUAAACAUUAUCUGGGGAAUCGCUGACUCGAUUUGAUUUCCAGCUCCUGCACGUACUUGAUUUUGACCUGAGACAUGUCUAGCAAGAAGUUGCUGCAGCCGAGGUCA